AAACUAGAUAAUAAUACUUGGUAAGUUUUUUUUUUGUUUGUUUUUGCAGUGUUGAAGAUCGAUCGAUUUAUUAACCAAGUAGUUAAUAAAGAAGACAAUCAAUUCCUUAAAUUUGGAUCCCUAUAAAUCGAGACCAGAUCUCAGCUGUUGUGAACACGUGACUCCUGAGGGAUCACUCUGUUAAAGUUCUGUAAAUUUUGCUUCCUGCGUUGAACUGGGAGGCUUACAAAUGGCUGUCUGGGCUCUGUGUAACCUGGCUGGUGCAUAUUUGGUUGUGGCUGUGUGAAAAACAUGAGGACAGAGCUGUUAUUGACAAUUAUCUAUUAUAAAGCUAACCCCUGAGGAAGACACUUAUCCUGAGCAUGACUGCGAUGUAAAACUGUUGGUGUUUUUUUUUUAUUUGCUUGUUUUCACAGCAAACAGCAGAGGGCGUCGGUGAGCUCAGAGGACACUGAGUCGGGGAGGAGCAGCCCAGAGCCCCAGUCUCACUCCCCUAAACACCAGCCGAACCGUCGGACAGUUCAGGUGUACUUUGACCUGAAGAACCAGGUACAUCGAGGACUUUGUGGGAAAAAGCUACUGAGAUUAGCUUUUGAUUCUACAUUCUUUUUAAUGUCCCAGUUGGCCCGGAGCUCAUCACUCGGUAGACAUCUGCGAGGGUCUGGAGGAGUGGCCUGGAGAUCAGGACGCCUUCCUCCCAUCUGAGACGGAGGAGAAAAAAAUGGUCAAAAUAACCCAAGGCAAGUACAGAGCUAUGGCUGACUGUCCCCAAAACGGACCAGGCAGCAUCAUCAUCAAACGCGGAGAUGUCAUCCAUCUACAAUGUGAAGACAACAGGGGGCGCUGGCUUGUGAAAAAUCUGAGUCGGCAGCAGGAGGGCUUCAUAGCAGCUGCCAGCCUGCAGCUCAUUAUAGGAAGCAGCAGCCACGAGCGCUCUCCCAGACUGGGAGACCCCGGGAACCUAAAGGUGAGAAAGCUGAGCUCCCCAUAGAGAACACAGGACAGAGGAUGAAUCUCAUGCUGGAUGAUGAGCAGAGCAGACUGAGUCAUCGCUGUCUCAUAGCUGAGGCUGCCAAUAUCUCCUCUCCUCUUAGAGGCUGCUUCCUUCAGCACACUUCAGUUCUUUAAAAGAAGAGGCAGAGUCAAGUGAGCCGAUUUCCUCCCUCGGUUUCUGUUUUCGACCUCCUGAACGGACGUUUUCUGAUGAUGAGGAUCACUGCAGCGAUCACCUCAAAGCCACAGGAGAAGUUAAAGCCCUACUGGACAAUCAACGGCUGACCUGGCUCAUGUUCUUCCCUCUUUUUGAGGCGCUUCCUCUGCAGCAUAUGCAGUCAGCAUGUGAGUUUGCCACUGCAGCAGUGUCUCAUUUCACAAACUGUGGACUCAGUGUUUCCCAGCAAAUACUUGAGGUUGGCUCUAAGAGCUUGUCUUUCUGCUUUGUUUCAAAAGGAUGAAAGCCAGGAUUUAAUCCUUAAACUGUUUUACAAAUUGCAUCCUUUUUUAAAAAACUUUUAAUGAAUUUCAUGUUCAUGUCUGUGUAAAACAUUAUUUUUUUCCUCAUGUUGCCACUCUUCUGUACAGUUAAGAGUUUAAAUGCCAAAACGUGCCAUGCCUUAUUGCCUUUUUAUUCCUGCUCUUUUAAAGUCUUUCUAUGUACUUUUUCUUGGUUCUAACUGACCUCACAAGACAUCAUCAGGCACUUUAAAGAGGUGGCUUUGUUAUGUUUCAAGGCCAUUUAUCAUUAUUGCUGCAUUUAGGCUUGUAGCUCAUGACAGAUAUUAUUCUCUCAAAUUGAGAACUAUGAAAGUAAAGCAAAAACAGAUUAAGAAUGCAGUUAAAAGUUGCUGAAGAUGGAUGAUGCUAUGGUUUAAUGCCAAAGGCUGCAGCCACCGCAUGACACAAUGACCACCCAAAGGGAAAGCGGAGAGAGUAAUGUGAGUUCAUAAAGUGAAGAUCUGUUUGCCGAUUUGUAAAGUUAAGAGGAGGAAAUAGAGUGAAAUGUUGUCUGGGAGUUUGUAACUUGGAGACUUAGCAAACCUUAGCAAAAUGUAUCGAAGUAGAAAUGCUUUCAAAUAUUUUAAACUUUUUUUUUGUCAUAAAAGUGUGUUUUAAAUGUACUUAUCCCAUUUGAAAACCAAUGUAAAAGCUCACUGUGAUUUAUUUUUUUUCAUUCUUUCAACAUUUUUAGGUAUUCCAGCCAUAAACUUUUUUGAUCUUUGGCCUUUAACUCCAAAUCCACCUGCUCUCUACUGAAUGUGCUCUUUGCUUGCUGCUUUACCUCUUUCACUGUGUUUCCGUUAUGCUGUGCUUCUU